AAAGAUUGACUGAUUCUAUUGUCAGCUCAUUUCAGGCAUAGGCAAACCAGUUCAGUGCGGCGCAACGGUGGUUUAUGAUUGAGACUGACGCGAUUCUAUCAUCGGGAGUUCGUGAUCUUUCUUUGCCUUCUGCCAGUCUUUAAUGCGAGG